rnacentral:rRNA from 1 species
UACGGAGGGUGCAAGCGUUAAUCGGAAUUACUGGGCGUAAAGCGCACGCAGGCGGUUUGUUAAGUCAGAUGUGAAAUCCCCGGGCUCAACCUGGGAACUGCAUCUGAUACUGGCAAGCUUGAGUCUCGUAGAGGGGGGUAGAAUUCCAGGUGUAGCGGUGAAAUGCGUAGAGAUCUGGAGGAAUACCGGUGGCGAAGGCGGCCCCCUGGACGAAGACUGACGCUCAGGUGCGAAAGCGUGGGGAGCAAACAGGAUUAGAUACCCUGGUAGUCCACGCCGUAAACGAUGUCGACUUGGAGGUUGUGCCCUUGAGGCGUGGCUUCCGGAGCUAACGCGUUAAGUCGACCGCCUGGGGAGUACGGCCGCAAGGUUAAA